rnacentral:antisense_RNA from 1 species
UGUGGGAGCUGGCUUGCCAGCGAUGGCGGUGGGUCAGGCGAAUAAGCUUCAUCUGAUCGGUCCCCAUCGCUGGCAAGCCAGCUCCCACA